rnacentral:rRNA from 1 species
UNUGACUUGAGUGCAGAAGGGGAGAGUGGAAUUCCAUGUGUAGCGGUGAAAUGCGUAGAUAUAUGGAGGAACACCAGUGGCGAAAGCGGCUCUCUGGUCUGUCACUGACGCUGAGGCUCGAAAGCGUGGGUAGCGAACAGGAUUAGAUACCCUGGUAGUNCACGCCGUAAACGAUGAGUGCUAGGUGUUAGGCCCUUUCCGGGGCUUAGUGCCGGAGCUAACGCAAUAAGCACUCCGCCUGGGGAGUACGACCGCAAGGUUGAAACUCAAAGGAAUUGACGGGGGCCCGCACAAGCGGUGGAGCAUGUGGUUUAAUUCGAAGCAACGCGAAGAACCUUACCAGGUCUUGACAUCCCGAUGCUAUUCUUAGAGAUAGGAAGUUACUUCGGUACAUCGGAGACAGGUGGUGCAUGGUUGUCGUCAGCUCGUGUCGUGAGAUGUUGGGUUAAGUCCCGCAACGAGCGCAACCCUUAUUGUUAGUUGCCAUCAUUAAGUUGGGCACUCUAGCGAGACUGCCGGUAAUAAACCGGAGGAAGGUGGGGAUGACGUCAAAUCAUCAUGCCCCUUAUGACCUGGGCUACACACGUGCUACAAUGGUCGGUACAACGAGUUGCGAGCCGGUGACGGCAAGCUAAUCUCUGAAAGCCGAUCUCAGUUCGGAUUGGAGGCUGCAACUCGCCUCCAUGAAGUCGGAAUCGCUAGUAAUCGCGGAUCAGCACGCCGCGGUGAAUACGUUCCCGGGCCUUGUACACACCGCCCGUCACACCACGAGAGUUUGUAACACCCGAAGUCGGUGAGGUAACCUUUUAGGGGC